rnacentral:tRNA from 1 species
AAGACUUGUAAAACUCUAAUAUACAUCUCCUGAAUGCAAAUCAAACGCUUUCAUUAAGCUAAAGCCUU